UACGAAGGGGGCUAGCGUUGCUCGGAAUCAUUGGGCGUAAAGCGCACGUAGGCGGACUCUUAAGUCGGGGGUGAAAUCCUGGAGCUCAACUCCAGAACUGCCUUCGAUACUGGGAGUCUUGAGUUCGGGAGAGGUGAGUGGAACUGCGGGUGUAGAGGUGAAAUUCGUAGAUAUUCGCAAGAACACCAGUGGCGAAGGCGGCUCUCUGGGACGGUACUGACGCUGAGACGCGAAAGCGUGGGGAGCGAACAGG
rnacentral:rRNA from 1 species